rnacentral:rRNA from 1 species
UACGUAGGGUCCGAGCGUUGUCCGGAAUUAUUGGGCGUAAAGGGCUCGUAGGCGGUUUGUUGCGUCGGGAGUGAAAACUUACAGCUUAACUGUGAGCGUGCUUCCGAUACGGGCAGACUUGAGGUAUUCAGGGGAGAACGGAAUUCCUGGUGUAGCGGUGAAAUGCGCAGAUAUCAGGAGGAACACCGGUGGCGAAGGCGGAUCUCUGGGCCAUUACUGACGCUGAGGAGCGAAAGCGUGGGGAGCGAACAGG